AUGAAUUCCUCAGUGGAAAAGCCCCAGUACACAGUGGGCAGUGUUUUAGACAGCAUAGACCCUCAUGCUGCAGAAGGCAUGUCGGAAGGCCCACCAGCUGAGUUCUCCACCACGAAGAGCCUGGAGGCCAUGGGUUUAAGUCCUUUGCUACUAAAAGAACACUACAAUGAGCAACCCAACCAUGAGUGCCUCUGUGAACACCAGUGGUGUUUUGAAGAACUGGUCCUACAGGCGUCAUUGCUGGAUGCACACUGCACGGGCACGCUGCAGAUGCGUCACAUCAUUCAGGAACAGCACGCAGGAACUGAUUCUCAACAGCCUCUGACAGGCAUGUGGCUGAGAAACACCUGGAGAGAGAAAAUAAAAUCAUUGACUGACUGCUCUGGGGAACAACUGGGCUUUCUCAUUUCCUUCUGGGCUGUGGUGUCAGCUGAGGACACUGUCCUGUAUGGAACAAAGGUGGCAAUGUUUGCAUUAUGGGGUUCCCCAGGAAUCAGGGAAGCUGGGGAUGGAAAAGAAGCAGGAGGCACGGCAUUUGGGGCUAUACUAAAAUGAUCCAAGGUCCCAAAUUCACCAUCUCGGGUACUUAAAAUUUCACAGCAGUUUGAAGAAAAUGACUACCUCAUUUUCCUUCUCUCACACAAGUAAUUCAAAAACAAACAAACAAACAAACAAAAACACCAAUUUGGGAAGCUGAGAAAGGUGGAGCCCCAGAGCCCCGCCCCUUAGAAAUAUGAAGGAACCGCAGGCUCCUGAAUGGCCACUAGGUGGCACUAGUACGGAGCUGAUUCAGAGGUCAGAGCUCUACAUUCAUUCUUUCAAAAAACCAUCUCUUUUUAUCAACCUAGGGCAGCGACACUGAGGUAAACUGGAAGCUCGAGCUUGAAUCCGGCUGCACUUAUAAUCCCAUGGCGAGCCUUUUAUGUGAUUGCAGCGUUUAUCAUUAAUAGCGCAUUUGCUUCUGCAUCGGGGGCCUGAAUUAGCAGAGGUUUAAUAAUGGAAAGCAGCCUAAUGUUUACACUAAGCUAAGCAAGGUCACCCGGGUAUUCAGAGAAAUGACCUGAGCAGUCUCCCAGCAGGAUUAAUGUAAAUGAAGCCUUUCGUUGAUUAGCUUUGUUCCGCUGCCCUGCGCUUUCGAAAUGACAGGUUUCAGAGGAUCACAGUUUAAUUACAUAAUCAUACAAAAUAAUAUUUAAUAAAGCACAGAGCAAGCAAACA
rnacentral:lncRNA from 1 species